GUAGACCCUGGUUAGUGUCCUCUAGGUAGACCCUGGUUAGUGUCCCCUAGAUGGACCCUGGUUAGUUUCCCUUAGGUAGACCCUGGUUAGUGUCCUCUAGGUAGACCCUGGUUAGUGUCCCCUAGAUGGACCCUGGUUAGUUUCCCUUAGGUAUACCCUGGUUAGUGUCCUCUAGGUAGACCCUGGUUAGUGUCCCCUAAAUAGACCCUGGUUAGUUUCCCUUAGGUAGACCCUGGUUAGUGUCCUCUAGGUAGACGCUUGUUAGUGUCCCCUAGGUAGAGCCUGGUUAGUGUCUAUCAGGGUCAUUUCAUUGGCUCAUUUCACCGUACUUCUGUGACAUAACUGGGAUUUGAAAUGGUGAUUUUCCUUUGUGGUGCCAGCAGCGAGCUGCAGGACCCUUCUCCCAUCAAAUAGCUUCUCUUAAAAAGAUUAUUCUGGGCCUAUCAGAGGAUGUCAUUUGGAAGCAAAUGCAUUGGGGAGCUCUGCCCAUCUGUUAUAUGUAAUCUAAUUUUCUCAUGCUCCAAAAGCUGGCCAGGAAGAAAAAAAGGAAAUCUCCAGGAUCUCUGAAGCCUUUUAACGUGUUACGGACACGUUUUCUCACUCAGCUCACAUUUCUCACUCACCCCGGGAUCACUUCUGUCCAAAAAUGUUCUCAACAACGGUUUAUAUACAACACCACAUUCAUGAUGCGGACCGGGAGCGUUCCAGAGAUCCGACCUGAAGGUAUCAAACGCUCCGGAAAAGAUCUGCCAAACUGCUCCAGACCCGAUCUUGCCAGUCAGUAUUUGAACUGGGAAACAGGGCGCGUUCGGUGUGCGGGUCCGCGGCGGAUCCGCUGUUUGAAGGUGCGCGAUCCGUAGGAUCCAGGAUAAUUUCCUUGGCAACCAUUAACCAUUACAUCCAACAGCCAUCAGGCUCACUGUGACAAACCUGACAUGACACAUUCAACUCGAUGCGCUAACGUUUUGUUUCCAUUUCAAAAGGCAUUUCUCUUCUCUCUUUGCUACGUUUACGGCGGGCGUCCACUCACUUCACUACUGAGAAGUCAGUGUGGGUAAAAUAGAUUUUUAUUUUGCCCAAAGGUAGCACCAAUCAUAAUCAUUUCUAAAACUGUGCUAAAACUCCCACGUGGACGGAAAUUAUUUGAAAUGGAAAUAUAUUAGUGGAGCUAAUGGCUCGGUUCAGUGUAGUUAGAGUAUUAAAUGAGCCUGAAGUUUAUUAGAAGUGUUUACAGAUUAGAGCUCAGCUCCACUACCUAACUGCCCCCUAUCACGACGCAUUUACUCAAUCAGACGUUCAUGAAGGGGCAAAGGUAUGAAUUCCAAACUCAACUCAACGCAAGUGGAUAAUGCCUUCAUGUCUGCCGGGACCUCGGGCUCGUCAGCCCGCCGGCGUCCCCGGCCGAGGCACUUGGGAGUUGAACUUUGCACGUGAGCGGUCGGAUACGAGGUGGGCGUCUGCUCCGGGGAUCUGGUGGGAGCCGCACCGGGCUACUAAUGCACGGUAUGGUGAUUUAAGCGAAGCCUCUUGUGCCUCCUGGGCUAAUUAUCCAGGUCCCAGAAUGUCUGAACUUUUCCUUUUCCUCACCACGAUCCACUUGGAGUCUAUUUCCUGCCUCUGGUUACACUCCCUCAUUACUUAAGUUUUGCAUUUGCCGGCUUGCUUGCUUCACCGCUUCCUUCGUAUCUGCUUCUUUACUCAAGCUUUAAAUUCCCCUUCCUAUACUUUCCUCUCCACCUGCUGUAUGUAAGACCGUGUUGCUCAUUAUGCCUCUGAGGGAGGGCAGAAAUUGCAUUUUGUCCGAGUUGAACUCGUGUGCCCUGUUACUCAGCUGGCAGAAGGUUUUUUUUUUCUAUUUGCAAAUUCUGUCACUAGUGGGGGGUUUUGUAAGCAGUUACUAUUUAGGUUGCUUAACUUACACUCAUUGUUUUCUGGGCCACGUUGUUCGAAGAUGCUAUUUGCAAAGGACUCGUGGCCCUUCACUCAUCAAUGAAGCCUUUGGGGGAAAAUGCAAACUACUGCGAAUGUGUCGUACAGCGUUUAUCCACAGCAGCAGGGACAUGGCAACAGUUGCAGCACUAUUUGAAUUUAAUGUCUGAAUACAUUUUUCAUUAAUGUGCCUCGGGCGAAAUGCUGAAUAAUUUGAAUGGCCCUCCGGUAAGAAGGUUUUAUUGUGACAGGUAAGAAGGGAAGGAGUGGAUCUAGUCUGCGCUCUUUGUGCAAUAAGGUUUACGCACUUUAAUGGCAACUGAAAUACAGUAAACAUAGAGUUAAAAUGAAAUAAAAGCAUUGUUAGAUAAUGAAACGUAAAGGCAGAUCAAGGAUGCUAACAAAUGCCAGCGAACACGUUAAAGUAAAUGUCACUUCCUGCGCUGACCGUCGCCUCUGAACAUGAAUCAUGAAUCGUGAGUCCUUCCCGUCGCCAAACAUUCACUUAUGUAUCGAGGACGAUUGAAGAGUCUCCACGUUCAUUAUUUUCCUGCCUUUCACCUCGUUGGUCCUUCUGGGAAUCUUCCUCUUCCUCCUUUCCUGGUACCCCGGGACCCCCCCCACGCCCCCUCCUUCCUCAUUACGAGGAGAAUAGAGGAUGUCUGCUCGGCCUCGGGGGCAGCGAUGAUCAUCUGCUGUUGAACCACACGCAUGCAUGUAUGGAUGCAACAACCACAAACAUAUUGUGCAAUACUCACUAACGUUUGGAUUUAAAUGUUACAUGCAUGUUAUCUUUGUGCACAUACUUCUUACUAACCUUCUAUCUUCAAAACAGGACCCAAAUCAUGAGGGGACAACUGCAGAGGAGUUCAACAUGACGUACAAGAGGCGAUCCCCAAAGACACUGUGGAUGUAUGAAUCUCAAAUUAACUCCUGGGCAAAAAAAGUCCCAUAAGAGAAAAGCGAAAAUGGUGUCAGUGAGCUGAGGAGAGAAGAGGAAGAGGAGGAGGAGGCAAAAUAAAACAUUCGACACACUACAGAAGUUCUUUUUCAUUCCAACUCAGAUGCUCCUCAGAUGCUCCUGAGCUCCGAGGGUCACAGUCACAGACGUCCGUCCACGUGUCCAUUGUCUCUGUGUGUGAGUGGACAGCGAGCUUUGUUGAUGCUGACACAUGGAGGGAGAAACUCCAGACCAGAUGAGAACAGAAGGGACGAGAGAAGAAAGGGAGAAGGACGGGAUGUGAAAUGAGAGAGGAGCUGGGAAGAUAACAGGAGAAUAAAAGGAAGGAAGGAAGGAGGCCAGGAGAGAGGAGGAGACAGGGG
ensembl:lncRNA